GAACAAAUCUAAUAUUUUGGAUAGUCAAAACUAUCAAAUAAAUGUUUGAUUUUGUGCUUUAAUAAAAUUUGUAAUCGUUUAAAUUAAAAUAUCUUUGUAUGACUUGUAUGACGCGACCGUCGUUAAUAUAAACAGUUUUCAAAAAUGGCGGCCGCCGUGAAACGAAACAAGAAAGGUCGAUUUAAAAAAAAAAACGGUACGGUACGGUCAGUAAAUGUUAAUGAACUUACUCUGGAUCAUACUUAUGUGUCAGGACAUUAUUGUGAAGGGGAAUGUUGUUAGGUGUGUUUUCCCGGGAUGAAAACGUUGAUAAACAGUAAGAAAUUCAGUUCUACAGGGUGGAAGAAUGGUCGACGAAUCGUUGAGUGGUCGUCAAUUAUAGACGCACUUUCAAGUUGUCAACAUUGUAAAUGCGGGCCUCUUUAUUUAACUAAAUAUACAGUUAAGGGCGAAAUGAAACUGGGACUAGGUGGAUAUCUCUAUAUCCAGUGUACACUCUGUCUCCGGCUAAACAGGAUAACGUAUGGGAAGACCCACAGAAGUGAGAAACAAAACGACAAGGGGAUGCCAAGUUUGUGCAUCAAUACUAAAGGCAGCAAUGAUAGACAGUGUUGGUGGACCCCAGCGGAUGAACAACCUGCUAACCACCCCUAACCUUCCCUUCAUAAACAACAGAAGUUUGAAAACAAUGGAGAGAAGAGCGGGCCAGUUCAUCGAGAAAUAUGCGGAAGAAAACAUGAAGAAAGAAAGUGCCAUGGCCUAUGAGAAAGAAAUGAUAGCUAUUUCACAGAAAGAAGAAGAUUUCAAGGAGGAGUUUAGCGACUUAGGGGUUGCUGUUAUUUCAGAUGAAUUUCAUGGAGAUGUGUCUAGACUGGCAGACCAAAGUACAUGCACCUCUUUUGAUUCUCCGGGUGAUGGAAACAGCUCUAAAGGAUCCAAACUUGAGCAGGCUACUUAUGAAGUGAUUCUGGAUCCCAAUAAAGAUGUCACUUCUUUUGAUGCCCACAGAUCAAAGAAACCGCAUCCAGCAGUCAGGAAACUCUCUUUUCCUCCUAAGUCCCGUAAAGGCAUGGCAGUUUGCAUCGACCAUGGGUGGCAGAAAAGGGGGUUUGACAGUUUAACAGGGCAUACAUUCAUGAUGAGCAAAGAAAAUAAGGUUUUGAAGGCAGUUCUAACACACCGAUCUUGUGGAGUAUGCAAAUGGUGGAAGAGAAAUAGACCAGGAGUAAAAGUUCGGGAACAUCGUUGUGUGUAGAAUCAUAGAGGAUCUGCCAGGGCCAUGGAGAGUGAAGCAGACCUGAAAGCCAUCAAGGAUAUGAUCCAAGAAGGUUUUCAGUAAAAAUGGGCUUUCCCCUGGUCACUUCAACAUGAAGUUCUCCAACAAAGUGGAUGAAUACAGGGUGAAAUGAAGGGAGAAGAUGAAAUUGCCAGGGACAAAACGCAGACGUCUUAUCGUAAAACAAGAAAGAGCAAUGCAAAUGAAUGCAUCCGAGGCAUCUGAGGGUUCCACCUAUCGAUCAGAAAACAGGGACACAAUGAAGUCACCAGAAGCUAUAUCAUCUCCUCCAGUCAAACCACUGCUUGAUGAACCGCGCCGCACCGCCACCAUAGACACUGAGUAUAACAGACUGGCCGGUGUUGGCUGUCUCAGUGAAGAAGUUUGGACAUGCAUGUAUAAUGAAAUCAUGAAGCCCCUCAGCCUCCGGGGUAAACUACUGACAUCAAUACAAACCAAGUCAGGGAAGAUAUCACGGGACAUAGCAGUGACACGGGACGGGGAUUUUGUUUAUACUGACUAUAAUGAUAGAACUGUGAACUUAGUAAAGAAUAAACAGAUAUAUAAUUCUAAUCAUGUGAAUAUCAAUCUUAUCACGGUAUACUUCUAUUUCAUCCCCUCCCCUGUGUUUGCUACAUUUUGCUUAUACUUACCCCACCACCACCACCACCAUUUUGUCUACACCUUUUUAUUAUUGUCUUCCUUAUCAAAAGGUACUCAUUAUUUAUGAAUCAUAUGACGAGAUAUGCGACAAAUAUUUUAUAUUCAUCAUUGAUCAUAUAAAAAGGGAUAUUACUCACUUGAGGUAGUAUGGUUAUUUUAGAUCUGAGAUCAUGAAGCCCUAUAGAAGAUACAGACACGUUG